GAUGAACGCUAGCGGCAGGCCUAAUACAUGCAAGUCGAACGGGAUCCAGAUCAAAGCUUGCUUUGGUUUGGUGAGAGUGGCGCACGGGUGCGUAACGCGUGAGCAACCUACCCUUGUCAGGGGGAUAGCCCGGCGAAAGUCGGAUUAAUACCGCAUGACAUCAUUGAGAGGCAUCUUUCGAUGAUCAAAGAUUUAUCGGACAAGGAUGGGCUCGCGUGACAUUAGCUUGUUGGUAAGGUAACGGCUUACCAAGGCUACGAUGUCUAGGGGCUCUGAGAGGAGAAUCCCCCACACUGGUACUGAGACACGGACCAGACUCCUACGGGAGGCAGCAGUAAGGAAUAUUGGUCAAUGGACGGAAGUCUGAACCAGCCAUGCCGCGUGCAGGAAGACGGCCCUAUGGGUUGUAAACUGCUUUUAUACGGGAACAAACGUCGGUACGUGUACCGGUCUGAGUGUACCGUAAGAAUAAGGAUCGGCUAACUCCGUG
rnacentral:rRNA from 1 species